rnacentral:rRNA from 1 species
UACAGAGGCGGCAAGCGUUGUUCGGAAUUAUUGGGCGUAAAGAGCACGUAGGCGGCUGUGUAAGUCGGUUGUGAAAGCCUUCCGCUCAACGGAAGAACGGCAUCCGAUACUGCAUGGCUUGAGUGUGGGAGGGGAGAGUGGAACUUCUGGUGGAGCGGUGAAAUGCGUAGAUAUCAGAAGGAACACCGGUGGCGAAGGCGGCCCACUGGAUCGGUACUGACGCUGAGGUGCGAAAGCGUGGGGAGCAAAC